GCCGCCGUAGCUCAGCUGGUAGAGCGGUGGCCUGUUAAGCCAUUGGUCGCAGGUUCGAACCCUGCCGGCGGCG
rnacentral:tRNA from 3 species